AUACUUAUCUGUCAAGGAGAUGCCAUGAUGGUAAAGGUAGUUUUCCCAGCGCCAGGCUCAUCCUUUCAUUGUACUACAGUUGUGCUGACCCUUGUGAUUAUCCCAAAUGUGGGAAACUUGGCUGCAUAAUUUGUGAUAGUGGGGGACUGCAUUCAUGUUUUCCCUAG
ensembl:snRNA U1 U1 spliceosomal RNA